GUGUAGCGUGUACUUUGCAAGUACCGUGAGAAUUGCAAGCGCGCAUGUGCAAUGAAAAUUGUCAUUUCCGCCGUGAGAGUUACAAGUUUUCAGAUCAUAAUACAAGUAUUUCACUGUUAAUGAUGAUAAUCAAAUGUGUCAACAUUCGAAAACACCACAGUGAAGAUCUUGGAAUCACAUAAUUAUAUUAAGUGUGUCGGGAAACCCGCGAAUACUACGCUAGCAUCUGUAAAACGUUGUCUGUGAGCGGCGUAUGUUACACCUCGUUUGCAUACAAGAUGUAAACAAAGAUUCAACGCAGAAAAAAAUAUAACGGUUGGGAAAGCAGGUGUACCAAAAUUAAAGUUCUUACCCAGAUGAUCUCAAGGACAGCUCUACAAAGUUUGCCAGAAAUAGAAGGGACAACUUUAAGCUAAAAGCCAGCAAGUUCUUUCUGAGAGGUUCAGUUCUCCAAAUACACUCAUGUAUUCCUGCCAAUAUGCAUCAAUGGGAAUCACUGGGUGUUGCUGGUUGCAGACGUAAAGCAAAGACUUGUCUACGUUCUGGACUCUAUGAAUGGGGAGGUUGGUCAGAAAUGGACAAGGAUGUGGGCAGAAUUCAUGGCCAAUCGGGACAGACUUCCAGAUGUUACUGAACAGUUUGGUGUGUGGAACUUCCCGGAGAUCAGAAGCAGCAAACAGACCGACAGUAAUUCAUGCGGUGUGUUCACCCUGAUGAAUGCGGAAUGCAUUGCCAAGGAUGUUCCCAUAGCAGUCAUGAGACAAGUGCAUUGCCAAAGAUAUAGACAAUAUGUUAAGGCAUCUUUGCUCAAUGCUGGAGCAGCAAAGUCGGACUCUAAGUGUGACAUGCCAGAUUGUAGGAUACCUAAAGGACACAAAAGAUGGGUCCAGUGUUGCGUGUGUGGACGUUGGCUCCACACAAAGUGUUGCAGGAUUCCGACAAAGGCAGCCAUCGAGGAGGAAUACGAAUGCUGCUUCUGUGAAGCCAUGUAUAGAUAGACAUUCAUAGCUCAUUAUUGCUACCAAUUGGUUUGGAAAAGCUUCCUCUUCCAAUUUCUAUUAGGACUGGUCAAAUUUGAUGAACAAUGUGUUAUGGUGUAGUUUAUCUGUCUGUUAAUUUUUGUUAUCUCCUACAUUUUUCUAACAAUCUCUUUGAAACUUGGUAUUCAUUAUAAUUAUGAUAGGAAAUUGUAUUACCCUGAAAAGGUUUUAAUUUCAUUAUUUUUGAACAAGUUUAUUUCAGUGAUGAAAAUUCUUGUCACAUCAUUCCUAUUUUUAUCCUGCCAUCAUCAGAUGGUGGACUAUUCAAAUCGCCCUGCAUCCAUCAUCUCUAUGUCCAUAACAAUCCUUGUUAUCAUUAUGUCAAAGUACUGGAGGUACAUUUCUAUAACAUGAUGAGUAGGUUCCCCUUAGUUCCCAGUUGUGUUAAAACAAAAUGACUGACAGGUGGCCAUCUUUGAUUUUGAGAACUAGAAGAUUUUUGUAGCUACAUUGUAUUUCUUAAAGUACUGGAGGAGUGUUUUGCAAACUUCACUUGUUCUUGUCAUCAGAUUAUGAAGAGGGAAAAAAAAGAAAUGGAAAAGUAAUGAAAUCAGUCUGACAUAGAACCAUUAGAGAUUGUUCAAUGGUGUACACCAAGAUUCCCCUGGUCUCCUGUUAAUUAGAAAAAUGGAUAUAAAUAAUUUCUUGAAAAGUACUGAAGGAAUAUUGCUCAAAUUUUGCUUGUAGGUUCCCAUUGGUAUCAAGUUGUGUCAAUUCAAUUUAGAUUUUUGAUGAGAAAAAUAGAAUGGUCGUCAGACACCCAUCUUAGAUUUGAAGAAUUAAAGUUUGUUAUAUUAUCACUAUUUCUUGAAAAGGGAUGUUUCUCAAACUUCACAUGUACAUGAAGGUUCCAUUUGUUCUUUGAAUCAGAAUAUUAAGAAAGAAAAAAUAAGGGAGAGUUAUAGAAGAUCAGUGUGACACAGAACCGAUCAUUGAAUUGUGGGUACCAAUUUUCCCCUGGGAUCACUCGUUAGCCUCAAUUUUGAAAAUUAAUUGAUAGGCUUUAUAUAAGAUAUGAAGUUGUUUCAUAUGAAUGUUUCUACCCUUUGUUCAUUUGAGCAUUUUAUAGUUGUCCUAAGAUUUCCAUUUUUUUGUGAACAUGGAAUGCAUUAUAGUCAUAGUUAUAUUCCCACCACAAAAAAAUUUUGGAUUGGUCCAAUGAAUACUUUAAUAUUAUUACUGGGGAGGGGGUAGACUUUACAAUAGUUUAUAUAAGGAUGACUUUCCACAUUUUUGACAAUCAUUUAAUUGUUGACAUUUAAUUUGUUAACAUUAUCAGCAUUGGAUGACAGCUUAAUGAUAUGCACAUGUUGGCCCUGACAGACCCCCAGGGACUGAUGUGUGGGGCUAAAAAGGGUCAAUUAGAUUAACUGAAAUAUUUCAAAUCUCAGGUGACCGUUAAGGCCCAUGGGCCUCUUGUUAAUUUGUAGAUUUCUUUUGCAUCUAUUACAUUUACUUUUUUGUAACAGAAUCUGUAUUAUAUUUUCUUGUGUCACAAGAUUUGGAAUUAUAUGUAAAUUGUAUAUAUCAUUGCCACACCAAAUGAAAUUUUAUGAUUCAUUUGUCAAGCUAUGACUGUUACACUUUUCAGAUAUAUAAGUCAUUAAAAAGGAGGAAACAUUUCAAAAACUAUAGAAAUGUUAUAUAUAUAAAAAAUAUUAAAACAUUAAAUUCAGUGAAGUUUUCUUUGAUGUUCUACUUCUAAGAUGUAUGAUCCCUGUGCUUGCUUUUGAUGAAGUCUAUUUGGAAUUUCAUUAGUAGGAACAAUUGGAGUUACAAAUACUUUGGUGUGGCCUUCAUUCUCUAACUUACAUAUAAAGUUAUUAAGUCACUUGCUUCGCUAUGUAGCUUGUAGCUGUGACAAAUGAAAUAUUCAUUAUAACUUUUCCUUUGUGCUGAAUAAAAUGUGAAAAGUACCAUAA